rnacentral:rRNA from 1 species
CCAAUAGCGUAUAUUAAAGUUGUUGCAGUUAAAAAGCUCGUAGUUGAACCUCGGGGUCUACCCAUUGGUCAGGCUUAAUUGUCUGCACUGGUGAGAUGGAUCUCUACCUUCUGAGGAACUUUCAUGCCAUUUAUUUGGUGUGAUGGGAAAUCAGGACUGUUACUUUGAAAAAAUUAGAGUGUUUAAAGCAGACUAUCGUCUGAAUACAUUAGCAUGGAAUAAUGAAAUAGGACGGACUGAUUCUAUUUCGUUGGUUUCUAGGAUCACCGUAAUGAUUAAUAGGGAUAGUUGGGGGCAUUAGUAUUCAAUUGUCGGAGGUGAAAUUCUUGGAUUUAUUGAAGACUAACUACUGCGAAAGCAUUUGCCAAGGAUGUUUUCAUUAAUCAAGAACGAAAGUUAGGGGAUCGAAGACGAUCAGAUACCGUCGUAGUCUUAACCAUAAACUAUGCCGACUAGGGAUCGGACGAAGUUAAUUUUAUAAUGACGCGUUCGGCACCUUACG